GAAGUUCCUCAUCUCUUCUCUCUCAUUCUAGACCCUUCGAAGCCUCCUCGCCUUCCAAGUUCGUACAAAACGCCGUGGUUUCAUCGGAGUACGAGCAAGAACAGGACCUAUUGAGCGAUGCAGAGGAACCCAGUGUUUGGAGGAAGGGGCAGAGGAUUUUAUAGUAAACCUGUUAAAUGAUUGGACGUGAAACGUUACAAAGAUAAGUCUUCGAUGAUGAUGAUGUUCAUGUUCUUGUAAAGUCACUGCAGUGGAUGAUGGAAGGAGAGCUCUGCAAUUUCUAGGAUUGGAUGAUGAGGAAAAGAGCUAUGUUGGGUUUGAUGAUGAUGUUCAUGGUUUUUUUUUUUUUUUUUUGUGUAGAAGAAAAUGCUUUGCUUAUUUUUCCUCUCUGUUUUGUGUGUUGAUCAAAUGAUUCAUAAUAAUUCUAGAACAUCAGGUGAAGAUGAUUUCACUUUGGAGACCUAACUGUGGUACCCACUAAAACACCAAACAAAUGUUAUGAAAAAAAAAAGUAUCUG